rfam:Aedes aegypti strain Liverpool supercont1.170 genomic scaffold, whole genome shotgun sequence.
CCUCUCAUGGCGUAGUGGUUAACGCGCCCCAACUAGAGAUCGGGGAGUCGUGAGUUCAAUUCUCACUGAGAAGA